rnacentral:rRNA from 1 species
GAUGAACGCUGGCGGCGUGCCUAAUACAUGCAAGUCGAGCGCAGCGGGGGCGGGGGAGUAACACGUAGAUAACCUGCUAUAAGAAUGGGACAACUUCGGGAAACCGGUGCUAAAACUGAUAUUUAUAGAUGGAUCAUCGCUGCAUUCGCUAGUGGGUAAGGUAACGGCUGACAAAGGCAACGAUGCAUAGCCGACCUGAGAGGGUGAUCUGCCACACUGGAACUGAGACACGGUCCAGACUCCUACGGGAGGCAGCAGUAGGGAAUAUUCCGCAAGGGGCGAAAGCCUGACGGAGCCACGCCGCGUGAGUGAAGAAGGUCUUCGGAUCGUAAAACUCUGUAAUUAGGGAAGCGGUACCUAAUCAGAAAGCCACGGCUAACUACGUGCCAGCAGCCGCGGUAAUUC